AGAGCGAACGCUGGCGGCAGGCCUAACACAUGCAAGUCGAACGGACCCUUCGGGGUUAGUGGCGGACGGGUGAGUAACACGUGGGAACGUGCCUUUUGGUUCGGAAUAGCUCCUGGAAACGGGUGGUAAUGCCGAAUGUGCCCUUCGGGGGGAAAGAUUUAUCGCCAUUAGAGCGGCCCGCGCCUGAUUAGCUAGUUGGUGGGGUAAUGGCCCACCAAGGCUACGAUCAGUAGCUGGUCUGAGAGGAUGACCAGCCACAUUGGGACUGAGACACGGCCCAAACUCCUACGGGAGGCAGCAGUGGGGAAUCUUGCGCAAUGGGCGAAAGCCUGACGCAGCCAUGCCGCGUGUAUGAUGAAGGUCUUAGGAUUAGUAAAUACUUUACACGGUGAAGAUAAUGACUGUAGCCGGAGAAGAACGCCCGGCUAACUUCGCGCCAGCAGCCGC
rnacentral:rRNA from 1 species